UGUACACCAAGUGGGUGAUUGCAGAGCCCAUGCAAUCAAAGACAGCGGCUGAGGUGUCUGCAAUAGUAACCACAAAGUUGUACUUGUUCGGCAUGGUUAGGAAAAUCAUCACAGUCCAAGGGAAGGAAUUUGUUAACAAGGUAGGAACAAAUUUUUAACGUUUUUUCCACUAUUCUUCUAGGGGUGUCAACAAUAAUCGAUUCGGCAAUGCAUCGCCAUGCGCGCAUGCACGAUUCAGCAUCGAUGCAGCAAAGUGCCAUAAUCGAUUAUGUCACUGUUUAUUUUCUGGCCUCGAGUGGACAAUAAAGUUGUGAAGUUUCAGUUACUUCUGGGGGCAUAACAACAACAAUCAAGAUGGCUGAGGCGGAGAGAGAUGACAGUGAUAGAUGGGUAAACAAAAACGCACCCAUAGUUUUCCAUGGAAAGUGGACAUAUGGGCACAUUUCGGAUUCUACGAAGUUAAUGGGAAACUAGACAAGACUUACGCUGUGUGUUAAUUCUCAUCUCAGUAGAAUUCUGAUGCAUCGUAGAAUCGAAUCGAAUUGAAUCGUUACCUGGUGAAUCGUAAUUGAAUCGAAUUCUCAAUGAAAGCAUUUUCAGUUCACUGAACAUAAAACAUGCUGUCUCCAGUGCUUACCAUCCCCAGACCAAUGGGCAGGAUGAAAGGACAAAUCAAAACAUCAUCACCAGAGUCAAUGAGAUGAAACGUCUCA